GAUGAACGCUGGCGGCGUGCCUAAUACAUGCAAGUCGAGCGAACAGACGAGGAGCUUGCUCCUCUGACGUUAGCGGCGGACGGGUGAGUAACACGUGGAUAACCUACCUAUAAGACUGGGAUAACUUCGGGAAACCGGAGCUAAUACCGGAUAAUAUAUUGAACCGCAUGGUUCAAUAGUGAAAGACGGUUUUGCUGUCACUUAUAGAUGGAUCCGCGCCGCAUUAGCUAGUUGGUAAGGUAACGGCUUACCAAGGCAACGAUGCGUAGCCGACCUGAGAGGGUGAUCGGCCACACUGGAACUGAGACACGGUCCAGACGCCUACGGGAGGCAGCAGUAGGGAAUCUUCCGCAAUGGGCGAAAGCUUGACGGAGCAAAGCCGCGUGAGUGAUGAAGGUCUUCGGAUCGUAAAACUCUGUUAUUAGGGAAGAACAAAUGUGUAAGUAACUAUGCACGUCUUGACGGUACCUAAUCAGAAAGCAACGGCUAACUACGUG
rnacentral:rRNA from 1 species